AGUGAACGCUGGCGGUAGGCCUAACACAUGCAAGUCGAACGGCAGCACAGUAAGAGCUUGCUCUUACGGGUGGCGAGUGGCGGACGGGUGAGGAAUACAUCGGAAUCUACUUUUUCGUGGGGGAUAACGUAGGGAAACUUACGCUAAUACCGCAUACGACCUACGGGUGAAAGCAGGGGAUCUUCGGACCUUGCGCGAUUGAAUGAGCCGAUGUCGGAUUAGCUAGUUGGCGGGGUAAAGGCGUACCAAGGCGACGAUCCGUAGCUGGUCUGAGAGGAUGAUCAGCCACACUGGGACUGAGACACGGUCCAGACUCCUACGGGAGGCAGCAGUGGGGAAUAUUGGACAAAGGGCGCAAGCCUGAUCCAGCCAUACCGCGUGGGUGAAGAAGGCCUUCGGGUUGUAAAGCCCUUUUGUUGGGAAAGAAAAGCAGCAGGUUAAUACCCCGCUGUUCUGACGGUACCCAAAGAAUAAGCACCGGCUAACUUCGUG
rnacentral:rRNA from 1 species